AUCCAAUGAUAAGGACACUCGUGUAUAUAGUCUUCAAAAUGCUCCCAAGCUUCUAGGACUAUCUCAUCAUGUUGUUGCUAAAAACUUGAUAUCUUCCCACGAAGAGC
rnacentral:snoRNA from 1 species